rnacentral:rRNA from 1 species
UGCGAUAAGUAAUGUGAAUUGCAGAAUUCAGUGAAUCAUCGAAUCUUUGAACGCACAUUGCGCCCCCUGGUAUUCCGGGGGGCAUGCCUGUCCGAGCGUCAUUACUGCCCCUCAAGCGCGGCUUGUGUGUUGGGCCGCCGUCCCCUGCGCCUCCGGGCAAGGGGGACGGGCCCGAAAGGCAGUGGCGGCGCCGCGUCCGGUCCUCGAGCGUAUGGGGCUUUGUCACCCGCUCAGUAGGUCGGGCCGGGGCCUUUGCCCUCUCCAACCUUUUUUUCCUUAGGUUGACCUCGGAUCAGGUAGGGAUACCCGCUGAACUUAAGCAUAUCAAUAAGCGGAGGAAAAGAAACCAACCGGGAUUGCCUCAGUAACGGCGAGUGAAGCGGCAAGAGCUCAAAUUUGAAAGCUGGCCCCUCCGGGGUCCGCAUUGUAAUUUGCAGAGGAUGCUUCGGGCUCAGCCCCCGUCUAAGUGCCCUGGAACGGGCCGUCGGAGAGGGUGAGAAUCCCGUCUGGGACGGGGUGCCUGGGUCCAUGUGAAGCUCCUUCGACGAGUCGAGUUGUUUGGGAAUGCAGCUCUAAAUGGGUGGUAAAUUUCAUCUAAAGCUAAAUACUGGCCGGAGACCGAUAGCGCACAAGUAGAGUGAUCGAAAGAUGAAAAGCACUUUGAAAAGAGAGUUAAACAGCACGUGAAAUUGUUGAAAGGGAAGCGCUUGCGAUCAGACUCGCCUGCGGGGUUCAGCCGGCAUUCGUGCCGGUGUACUUCCCCGUGGGCGGGCCAGCGUCGGUUCGGGUGGCCGGUCAAAGGCCCCGGGAAUGUGUCGCCCUCCGGGGCGUCUUAUAGCCCGGGGUGCCAUGCGGCCUACCUGGACCGAGGAACGCGCUUCGGCUCGGACGCUGGCGUAAUGGUCGUAAGCGACCCGUCUUGAAACACGGACCAAGGAGUCUAACAUCUACGCGAGUGUUUGGGUGGCAAACCCAUACGCGCAGUGAAAGCGAACGGAGGUGGGAACCCUUCGGGGCGCACCAUCGACCGAUCCUGAUGUCUUCGGAUGGAUUUGAGUAAGAGCGUAGCUGUGGGGACCCGAAAGAUGGUGAACUAUGCCUGAAUAGGGCGAAGCCAGAGGAAACUCUGGUGGAGGCUCGCAGCGGUUCUGACGUGCAAAUCGAUCGUCAAAUUUGGGUAUAGGGGCGAAAGACUAAUCGAACCAUCUGGUAGCUGGUUCCUGCCGAAGUUUCCCUCAGGAUAGCAGUAACGCAAUUUCAGUUUUAUGGGGUAAAGCGAAUGAUUAGAGGCCUUGGGGUUGAAACAACCUUAACCUAUUCUCAAACUUUAAAUAUGUAAGAAGCCCUUGUUGCUUAAUGAACGUGGGCGU